AGCGUAGGCGGAUAGUUUAGUCAGAGGUGAAAGCCCAGGGCUCAACCUUGGAAAUGCCUUUGAUACUGGCUAUCUUGAGUAUGGGAGAGGUAAGCGGAAUUCCGAGUGUAGAGGUGAAAUUCGUAGAUAUUCGGAAGAACACCGGUGGCGAAGGCGGCUUACUGGCCCAUUACUGACGCUGAGGCUCGAAAGCGUGGGGAGCAAAACAG
rnacentral:rRNA from 1 species